rnacentral:rRNA from 1 species
UCCGGAAUUAUUGGGCGUAAAGGAUGCGUAGAUGGCAGAAUAAGUUACUGGUCGAUGCCAAACUCAAUUUGACGGAAGCUGGUAAUACUGUUCUGCUAGAGGGCAGGAGAGGUUGAUGGAAUUCUGUGUGGAGCGGUGAAAUGCGUUGAUCUACAGAGGAACACCAAAAAAGGCGAAGGCAGUCAACUAUUCUGUUCCUGACAUUGAGGCAUGAAAGCGUGGGGAGCAAACAGG